CGUUCAGUGUGUGCCAGCGAGCCCAUCCAUAGAUUCAUCUCUCCUCCCUGCGUUAGGGUUCCACUCCCAUUCCUCCUCCGGCCGCCACCUCCGCAUCGACCUCCUCGGUUGCCAUGGUGAUGGAUGACCACCAACUCCGGCUACUCCAGAUCCCUCCGCCUAUCCACCCCGAGGAUCCGGAUUCUCCUCUCCCGGAGACCAUCCUCAUCGACUCCUUCGGCUACCUCAGCGACCGCACCAACGCCACCACCGCCCGUGGCCGCAGGAGCAGGACCAAGAAGAAGGGCAAGCGCAUCCUGGUCACCUUCUGGCCGGCUGCCCCGCCGCGCGUCUCCUGCUUCACCGUCCACUGCCCAGAUCUGAAGCCCGAUGCAUUCGCUGACAUGCCCAAGAUCUCCUAUACGGAGGAUGGCCUCGUCCUGCUCCGCAUCACCAUCUGCCCCGAGCGCCAGCACGUGUACACCAAGAACAUUCGCUACUUCGUCUACCAGGCCGGCACCAAGAAGACGCCGCCGUCGGUCAAGCUCGUCCACUGUCCCCCCUACUUCAGGAUCUACGACCAAGAGGUUGCCUUACUGCACUGCCACGACCAAGAGAUGUUCUUCAUCGCCGUGCUCCGCAGGGCCUUCAUUGAGCGGGAGUACACCGACGGGCACUUUAAUCUCCACCUGUACAACUCCAAGACAAAGGCAUGGAGCACCAAGUUGAUGCUUCUUGAUUCGCCCAAGGAUUUUGAGUUCCAGUCUCCCAACAAGGGGAUCACCAUUGGAGGGGAGCUUGGUUCAGUGGGUUGGGUCGACCUCGGGCGGGGCAUUAUCAUCUGUGACCUUCUCCUCCUUGACAGCAACCAGAGUCUUCGCUACAUCCCGCUACCUUCGCCGCUGUCGCCCGAUCCGCUCAUUGGUUAUCCGUUGUAUGUUCAGAACAUCACUGUUCUCCAAGGUUACAUCAAGUAUUUUGAGAUGCACAAUAACGUCAGACCGGGCUCAGACACUGGAAGCUCCCCGAUAUCUCAAGGUUGGAUUGCUGCAACAAAAAAAUUAAAAAUUUCAAGCAUUGGUUCCACUUCUGAUAGCAGCAACUGGGAGGAGGACUGCACUAUCAGAUGCCCAGAUGAUGUACCAUUGGAUAACCCUGUGUAUGCCCAAAUGCUACUACCUAAUCUGCAGGAGCGUGGUGAUGAUACCAAGCCAAACCUCAAGAGAACUUGUCUAGGCUAUCCUGCUCUUAGCUUGCAUGACAGUGAUGUUGUUUACCUUAUGCACAUGCCUGAUACCCUUGGGGAUAAGGCUUGUGUUAUUGCUCUUGAUAUGAGGAACAAGGCUGUAAAAGGCGUGGCUAAUUUUGGCGGCUCUGGAAGACCCCUGGGUCAUUGUUUCACCUACUUUCCCAGUGGGAUCUCCAAGCAUCUGGGCAUUUUCUCAUCAACCAGGUAAUUUCGUUAAGAGCUUUCAUAUCCUUUCGUAGCAAAAUGAUUUACAAACUGAAGUAUCAGAGGUAAACCAACUUGUACUGGCAGCAGAGAGUACUUUGGGUACUUGUACUGAGUGGAUGUAGAUUUGUUACAUCUAUGCUUUUAUUAUGCUGUGCAAGUUAAUAUCACAAAAGAAUGUGUUCCAUCUUUCAUUACAAUUCUGGUUUUCAUUAUUUAUUAUUUCAUUUGAUCAUGUGCAGCUACCAGCUAGUAUUCUUUAGAUCUACCUGAUUUGUUGUUUCAAAAUAACUACUGUAUUUGUUUGAGGACGGUGAACAUUGUGCCUGCAUUUAUCUCGCUAGCAUUUACUUUUCUGUCCAUAAAUUCAGCACUUACUGCUUCCCUGUCACCACAUUUAAAUUCCGUGGUUUCUGUUUGAUUAGAUGUAUAAAAAAGGCUUCAUUCAACAGACAAAAUAACAAAAGUAAAGACAGUGUCCAGCUUAACUUCACCGCAUUGUUCCCUAACCAAAGUUUCUGCUUGCUUAUGGUGUGUUGCACAUGAAUGAUUUCAUUAGUGCGCCAUGUGCUGUAUCUUGCACACCAUGUGGUGUAACUAACCCCUAUUAAAAAUAAUUCCACAGCCAUUGUUCAAACGGUGCAAAUGUGCACCAAGGAAAUAAAAUAAUCCUAUAGUUGGCUUAUUUGAGGGGAAAAUAUUGCACACCAUUGGUAGGCUAUCUCAUACCCAGGAUUCAGCUUUCAUGCAUUGCGUCUUUCGUGCCAUACUAUUUCCUGGGCCAUUGUCAGAACGAUAAGAUGCACUAUCUGCACGAAUUAAGCAAUGUUUUCUUUUGUUGUGCGCAGCUUUUGGUAGAUAAUCUUGCUUUUGUAUUAAAUGUUUAUUUCUUUUGUGGGAACCGAAAAGUUUCCAUCGCACACAAAAUAAGCAAAGUGUAAGCCUAACCCAGCUGGUUUUCGCUGGACAAAAUGGGCAAUCCCUAUGGUUGGCUUAUUUGAGGGGAAAUGUUGCAGUGGCUCCAUGGCUCCUGUAAAAAUGGCAGUACAUUUAGGUCCCUGUACCUCAUAUUAGUUGUAAUUCUAGUUUUGUUCAAAGACAAACCUUUCUUUCUAUCUGUAACUACCGAUUUCUAGAAAUGCGCAUAGUUUAGUGUAACUCCAUUUUUCACCCCCUAGUUUAACAAUUGGCCCAUUUAGCAGAAAUUCUUCCCACUUGCCCCAUUUAGUAAAAGUUGUGCCAGCUUUCACCUCCUUUUAAACAUUACCCAUCUACUACCCCUAUAAAAGAAAGAAAGAGGCAGAUCCAAAUAAUCUCAGCCGCCUAAUCACACGAUCUAAUGGUUCACAAUCUCUCUGUGUUUAACGCUAGCAAGCCACUAACCCGUCGACUGAUAGUAGAUGCCUCUUCGUUAAAGAAAACUACUCCGCACGAACGAACCACGAUCUCUAUCCUGCUUCUCCUGUGUAACCUCCGCCCUCUCCUCCUGUGCACGGUGCGCCGCCCGCUCCUUGCCCAGCGGAUGCGCCGGCACGGGUUGCUGCCGCCGCUCUAAUCGCCCGUCGCUGCCCGCUCCAGUCGGCCUCUGCCGCCGCCCGCUCCUUCUGUGUUGCCCAGUGGACGCGCCAGCACGGGCUACCACCGCCACUCGCCGAUCCUCCACUCCGCCGCCGCUCAAAUUGCCCGUCACCCCCCGCUCCAGUCGGCCUCUGCCGCCGACCCUCCGCUCCUCCGCCGUCGCCGCUGAACUCUGCUUCCGUCGCGGCUGACUCUGAUCCCCCACUUCGACGGUGGCCACCUAUACGGAGAUAUUUGCCAGUGGCGAUCUACAACCGGCCAGCCGUAUCACGGUUCAUGUUUUUGUUGGUUCGGAGUGCCCUUUCCACUGGAAUUUAUUGUGAUGAAUCGAUCUGGCCAUAUCCUGACUGAACAUAAAAAGUCUGAUGUAUCAAACUGGCCACAUCCUUUUACACUUAUUGAUUGAUAUAAGUAAUCUUCUUUGCAAUUUGCUGUACAAAUCAAUCUAGCUGAGUUUUGUAGUUGAUCCCAUUAAGUGUAAUAUUAAUCUUAGAAGGUCUUUGACUAAUUUUAGAGUUGAGUUUAAGAUCCCUAAGAGGUUUCCAACAGCAAACAGAUUUAGGUGCUGUAGUGAUUGGUCAAUGUUGCUAUGUCAGAAGUGCUUUCGGUUAUAGCAACAUGCACGUACCAGUGGUUGGAAACAGGUAUAUGGAUUGAUUUUUGGGAGAUUUGCAUGCAUGAAGAACCUUGCUACAUAAGCUUUCGGCCAUGACACACAUAUAUAUUCUGACAAAUUUCUUCUCCGUUGAACUAUUUAUGUCCUCUUGCAGAUGGUAAUCAUCUUAACUAUGAGCAAGUAGGUCGGAACUAUGAGCAAGUAGGUCACGUUUAAGAUCUCAAGGAUUCAGUGAUGUUGGAUCUAAUAGUUGGACUUCACCGCCUUCUCAAUUUAUAUAGGUGAGCACUGUUGCUUGCUGACUCACACAGCAGGAAUUAGGCGGGUUGUGGCGAACGAGGAACCAAGAGGGGCGGAAACUGUAGCUAUACAACUGCGGAAUUGAUCAAUACGAGCAUGCUUUGUGUAGCCAGGGAGAGCGCCGAGGGUGCUGGUCUGUGGCACCAGAAGAGGUGAACUCUCAACGAGAUACUAAUCAAUGGUGAAGUAUUUAGAUCAGUUCUACAACCAACUCAUGUGCUUAUAACUGUAGCUUUUGUUCAAACCUCAGUUGUAGGUAAGCUACAUUGCCAAGUGCAAAUCCUCAUCUUACUACAGUUUUCAACUUUUCAUUGAUUUUCUAUUUUGGAUUGUAUUUCCAUUUUGGGCCCCAUUUUUGACUGUAGCUUUUGUUCUGACCCCACUUGUACGCAAUGUAAUUUGCAGCCAUGAUGCUACAUUGCCAAUAUUUUAGAAAACUGUAAUUUGCUGCCAUGAUGUUACGCACGUGCAGGUCUAUGGUAGUGGUACGAAUUUGGGGGUACAUCUCCUCGCACUCAGGUGGAAAAAAUUCCUCGCCCUCAAGUCCAACUAAUUCAGGACCUGCAUCUCUGAUAUACCGUGGUUGGUUCCUUCCUCGAUGCCUUCUCUCUUGACAAUCGAUGAAAUACACAACUAGCUUGCACAUAUUUAAGAAGCACGUACAGUUUCAUUGUGUAAAAAAUAGUAGCAGGUGGGUAUUUUAGCAGUUCAGCUAUCUGAAAGAGAAAAUGAGUUGCUUCAGCAGAAAACCGAGGUCAUGACAUUAGCCACUUCACUGAAACCGGUCAGUUCAUCACUUCAUCUUUGUUCGUUGGUAAGAUCUGUAUUCUGUUGACCUUUGUAAACACAUUUUAGUAUCAUUAUCCAUUCAGUGUUCUGUUUACAGUGUACUAUUAAAUGCCAUUUUCCAUGUGUAUUUUUGUUGAUUGCUGUUGGAUUUGGAGGCAAACUAAUUUCCUCCUAAAGUAUGAAUUAUCUGCCAUGUGUAUGACUUUGAAAUCUUCAGUUUGAAAUUAUGAAAGUUUGUUCCGCUCUUACAUUAAGCAAGUGUCUAGAGGAAGUUUUGCUUUUGUUUAGGCUCGAGAAACAAACUAUCACGCAGUAUUGUGAAUUUGAAAUGGUGCUCUUCUCUUCCAAAAAUGCAUAGCAAAAUUUCAGGGACCUGCAGAUAGUUUCUUGAGUAACAAAAUUUAGGAGGCCUGACUAAUUUUAUUAUGAUAGUUCAGACAUGCUGCCAAUGAAAUUCACCCUUUACAGAAAACAGCAAGUUGUUUACUCAUGUGUUGUUCUGUUAUUAGACUGUAGGGAUAAGUUACCUUUUAGUUUUUACUACACCAAGGUUAAAGCUUUGUUUUCUUUUCAUAGCUGCGCCAUUUUCUUCUACAAUUUACAGAUAUUCUUUUUUUUUUGAGAGUACGCCAAAGGCAUACUUUUAUAGAAGAGAGAAAAUACAAUGUACAAGAAGCCUCGAAAUGGAUGCGAACAUCCACUCUCGACCACACCCCAGUACAACCAAAGCAGGUGUACUCUAAACACCCCAUUACAGAUAAUUAUUUACAGAUGUUCUCAUAGAUUUGGGAUGUAACAAUGGUUAACCUGCUCUUCAUGUUUUUUGAUAAUUGCUUUGACCAUCUGUUAAUUAGGCAUUACUAUGUAUCCGGCUUUUUCUAAGAUAUCUUUUAUGCCAUCAUGGCACUGAACCAUGAGUGAAGCAAUGAUGUAAACAACUCUGGGGUAUAACCAUUUGGCUGCUGGACUAAACAUUACAUAUUUAGUAACUAUUUCAAAACACAAAAUUUCAUGAUGAAAAAAUCAGCUUGUCCAUUUUCUUUUAUGGCUUGACUCUGUUCAAUCUUACAGAGAAAGGGACUGUUUUCUUCUUUUGUGACAUGACAGGAAGCAAGGUCAUGUGUAAGACGGAGGAGGAAACUGAUUUGGCUCUUCAUCACGUUGAGACUGUUGCAGCCAUGGGUGAUGUGUCAAUUUCUAUGAUGGGACAAAGGGUAGAAUCAGGAUGAUAUGGCUAAGAAAAUAGUAGCAAAUAAGUGACUACUAGGGUGUCCGUACUAGCAACAUAAGUUACAUAAAUUUAUUGAUCUUGAACUAAUUUGCACAUUCUCUAUUUAUCCGUAAUUUAGUUUUGCUUCCAUCCGAAAAACAUUAUAAAUCAGUAAUAAAGAUAUGUACGGAUGAAAAACUAUGUAAAUAUUAGACAACUAUUUAUUAACAAUUAUUUGAUGUCGA